AAUGAACGUUGGCGGCGUGGAUUAGGCAUGCAAGUCGAGCGAGAACCCGCAAGGGGGACAGCGGCAAACGGGGUAGUAAUGUGUCGGAACGUGCCCAGAGGACGGGGAUAGCGGCGGGAAACUGCCGGUAAUACCCGAUGAUCUCGAGAGAGCAAAGGUGUGAUUCCGCCUUUGGAGCGGCCGACAUGGUAUUAGCUAGUUGGCGGGGUAACGGCCCACCAAGGCUUUGAUGCCUAGGGGAUGUGAGAGCAUGAUCCCCACCAUUGGGACUGAGACACUGCCCAGACACCUACGGAUGGCUGCAGUCGAGAAUCUUCGUCAAUGGGCGAAAGCCUGAACGAGCGACGCCGCGUGCGGGAUGAAGGCCCUUGGGUUGUAAACCGCUGUCGAGGGGGAUGAAGGCAUUCAGGUACUCCUGAAUGUUUGACAGAGCCCUGGAGGAAGCACGGGCUAAGUUCGUGCCAGCCGCCGCGGUAACAC
rnacentral:rRNA from 1 species